CUGCGUGUGUCUAUAACUUUGUGUUGCUGCUGCUGCUGGUUGUUAGGAGAAGGAAUGUGGAAGUCAGCAGUGUGGAGGGUGACAGGCUGCCCGUGCAAGCUGCAGGAGCGGCAGCGGCAGCAGCAAAAGCCUAAACGCUUCUCCCGCGCAGAUUCUUCGCUUUCUCUUGUCUGUAUUUUUGGGAGAAGUGCAGAAUUUUGCUUUCUCCCCCAUCGUAUUUAAAGGGAAGGUGCCGCGGUAGACACAGGAACUAUGCAACGGGGUUGCUGCUUUUCUCUCCUGUGACUCCGGAUCUGUUUUUGAACAAGCUCAGGUUCUUCCCUUUCCCCUCCCCUUGACUUUGUCUUUCUCUCCCCCUCCGCCGUUUUCCCUAAUCCGCCCCCCCUCCCCCUCCGCUUUCUCCCUUUCUAGUGUUUUUAAAGGACUUGAGUGAAGGGGGGGGAACUGUCAAGAUGGCAGCAGCGGGAGCAAGGAGGUUAUGAAUGUGUUAGUACUGGACCUUCUCGCAGCCUUAGGGGAGACUUGAAGCUUCCAGACCUGUUGGAAGAUUUCUGCUUUGAUUUGCCCUUUUUUUCUUGAGAGGCAAACGACGUCAGCAACAACAAUUGCAAAACAAAACACCAAAGUGGCUCUUGCCCAGUUCAGCUUCUUGCGAAUAGCCUCUAUUCUAUUCUUUUGGUUUUUGAAAGUAGCUCGGACUGGACUGGCAUGAAUUUAGAUGCAUAUUAACCGUCCCCUGCCUUUGGGUCGAAAGGAGAAGAGAAAGGGAACUGGGGGAAAAAGUCAUCAUGGUAAUGCAAGAGCCCUAACCUCGUCUGUCGAAGCAAGAAAGAAGCCUGAGCUGUUCUCUGAUGGACAGUGUAAUUUCUGUGGUGUGGUGCCUCCUCGUUGGUGGGAGGGUGGAGGUCCGAGAAAGAUCGGAAGACGCCACAGACUUUCUCUCCAUUGCCACUGAAGGAAGCACUUCUCCAUCUGCAUGGAGUGAAAUAUAAACAAACACACACUCCCAGUAGCAGAGCAGGCACGGAGCUGCGCCACUCAACUGCGUUUGGCUUCUCCUUGCUUUAAAGGGACAACCCUCCCUCCCCAGUACCCUCCUCCUCCCCCUCCUCACUUCCCCCUCCCCUUCCCUGUCUCACUCUUACCCCCACCCCUCCCCCUCCCUCCUCCGCCCUACCUUCCUCCCUUCUUCCACGCCCCAGCCACCUUGUCCAGGAGAGACCUGCCUAUCUGACCGCAGCUGGGGGAAGGGGUUGCCCCAUCAGUGCCUAAUCCUCGGAUUGUCUCCACCCCCACCCCCCCGCACCCUCAGGCGGCGGCUGCUUUGGACUGGGAGUCGUUCGCUCUGCCAGGUUCACGGGAAGGGACGUUUCCAGGUCUGCCUGUUCCCCUGGCUUGGCGAGGUACUGAUCUGGGAAGAGGAGGCGGCGGCAGUAAAGGUCCGCCGAGGACUUCAUUCCAGCUCAGGAUAACCAACUCUCUCCCCUGUUUCCCUCCCUUUCUCCCCACCCCCCAGCCCUCCUCCCCGCAGGCAGCGAUCCUGAUCCCUCAGCCUGUUCUCCCCCCUCCCCUCUUUCCCUCCCCCACUUUACCCCGCCCCAGCGAGAGAGCAAGGAGGGGAGCCACCAAGCGAACGAGGGAGAGAGCGAAGGAGCGAGCAGCAGCAGCCAAAAGGCAGCCCAAGGGCCCGGGCGGCGAAGAUGGCAGAGGCGCCGUCCUCCCCGGCCCCUCUCUCGCCGCUGGAAGUGGAGCUGGACCCGGAGUUCGAGCCCCAGAGCCGGCCCCGCUCCUGUACGUGGCCCCUGCAGAGGCCCGAGCUGCAGGCGAGCCCGGCCAAGCCCUCGGGGGAAGCGGCCGCCGACUCCAUGAUCCCAGAGGAGGAGGACGACGAGGAAGACGACGACGGAGGCUGCGGAGCCCCUGGGGGCGGUGGAGGAGCCGGCACGGCCAUGGCCAUGGCCGGCACGAGCGGCGUCCUCGGCCCAGGACUGCGCCCCGAGGAGGCGGCCCGCCUCCUGGCCCCUGGAGGGCAGGACUCGGGGUCCGGCGCGCCCUCCGGGGCAGGCGUGCUGAGCGGGGGGCAGCAGGCGCCACUGCAGCCGCAGCAGGCGCCGCUGCCGCUGCCCCCUCCGCCGCCGCCGCCGCUGCAGCCGCAGCAACAGGGGGCGAGCGGGGCCGCGGGGCAGCCGAGGAAAUGCUCCUCCCGGAGGAACGCGUGGGGAAACCUGUCCUACGCCGACCUGAUCACCCGGGCCAUCGAGAGCUCCCCAGACAAGCGGCUCACCCUGUCCCAGAUCUACGACUGGAUGGUGCGCUGCGUGCCCUACUUCAAGGAUAAGGGCGACAGCAACAGCUCCGCUGGCUGGAAGAACUCCAUCCGUCACAACUUAUCCCUACACAGUCGAUUCAAAAGGGUACAAAAUGAAGGGACCGGGAAAAGUUCCUGGUGGAUGAUCAAUCCAGACGGGGGCAAAAGCGGAAAGGCCCCUCGGCGAAGAGCCGUCUCCAUGGACAAUAGCAACAAGUACACCAAGAGUAGGGGGCGGGCAGCUAAGAAAAAGGCUUCUCUGCAGGCUUCCCAGGAAACCACAGAAGAUAGCCCUUCCCAGCUCACCAAGUGGCCGGGCAGCCCCACCUCUCGAAGCAGCGAUGAGCUGGACGCGUGGACAGACUUCCGCUCCCGAACCAACUCCAACGCCAGCACAGUAAGCGGACGCUUGUCACCCAUCCUGGCGACCACUGAGCUGGAUGAUGUCCAGGAUGACGACCCGCCGCUUUCCCCAAUGCUGUAUAGCAACUCAUCAAGCGUGUCCCCGUCGGUCAGCAAACCGUGUACCGUGGAACUUCCACGGCUGACCGACAUGGCAGGCACAAUGAACUUAAACGAUGGACUAACGGACAACCUCAUGGAUGACCUCUUGGACAAUAUCGCGCUCCCGCCCUCCCAGCAGUCACCAUCGUCAGGACUCAUGCAGAGGAGCUCUAGCUUCCCAUUUACCACCAAGGGCUCAGGUCUGGGGUCUCCGUCAGGCAGCUUGAAUAAUGCUGUGUUCGGCCCCUCUUCUCUGAACUCUCUACGCCAGUCUCCCAUGCAGACCAUCCAAGAGAAUAAGCCGGCCACCUUCUCUUCCAUGUCGCACUACAGCAACCAGUCCCUCCAGGACCUGCUGACAUCCGACUCGCUGAGCCAUAGCGAUGUCAUGAUGACUCAGUCAGAUCCAUUGAUGUCCCAGGCCAGCACAGCUGUGUCUGCCCAGAAUUCACGAAGGAAUGUCAUGCUCCGCAAUGACCCGAUGAUGUCCUUUGCUGCUCAGUCCAACCAGGGAAGUUUGGUCAGUCAGAAUCUACUCCACCAGCAGCACCAAACCCAGAGUCCUCUUGGUGGUAACCGUGCCUUGUCUAAUGCCGUCAAUAGCAUGGGCUUGAGUGACACCAACAACCUAGGGUCAGCCAAACACCAGCAACAGUCACCCGCCAGCCAUUCUAUGCAAACCCUUUCUGACUCACUCUCAGGGUCCUCUUUGUAUUCUACUAGUGUGAACCUUCCAGUCAUGGGCCAUGAAAAAUUCCCAAGUGAUUUGGACCUGGAUAUUUUUAAUGGGAGCUUGGAAUGUGACAUGGAAUCCAUCAUUCGCAGUGAACUCAUGGAUGCUGAUGGGUUGGAUUUUAACUUUGAUUCCCUCAUCUCUGCUCAAAACGUUGUCAGUCUGAAUGUGGGGAACUUCACUGGUGCUAAGCAGGCCUCAUCUCAGAGUUGGGUGCCAGGCUGAAGGACCUUUGAGGAAAGGGGGAAUGGGCAAAGCAGAUAAAGAAACUGAAACUCAGACUGGCUAGAUGAUUUUCCCAGAGUUACACCAAUAACCCUCAAACUGACACCAGAUCUAAAGAGGAGGAAAUAAAAAACCCUUUGCCAAAUCUGCUCUCAGCAAGUGGACAAUGACACCGUUUACAGCUUAUUGACCUUUGUGAAUCAAUCCUGCAUCCUUCUCCUAAUCAAGCCAAGACUGUUAAUGGCCCCUCAUUCCCCCCCCCCCAGCAAAGCUCCUAUCAAACUCGAGAACGUAUGCAAAAUCUUCCCUGUACAGGAUGAUGGAGCACUUUCCAUGGACACCGCACCCAACGCCUCUGCGCCAUCUUGUCAAGACACACUGUGUGCCCUCUAACAGUAGUUCCCUGCCGAUGCUCAUGUGGUGUUAUCAUAUAGCAGUGGUUUAGGGGUUGUUUUAAGUUUUGGUUUUGUAUUUGUUUUCUUGCUUUUCUCACUCCUGUGCCCAUGCAGUGGUUUUUUGUUGUUGUUGCUGUUGUUUAUUUUUUCUGUUGACUAGACUCACCUACCCUUUCUUUCCCUGGCAAGUUGAAAACUUUGGAAGGAAGCAAACACUUGCCAGUUACGUUCCUGCUUCAGGAGUCCCAGACAUUGGGUCCCUCUGACUCUAUAGACUGACAAGUCGCAUAAUCUAAAGAACAUUUUCUUUCGUGUUUUGUCUGAUAGAAAACUAUUCUCUUCUUAAGAAAACUGUUCUCUUCUUAGAAACCUAACAAUGGCACAAUCAUUUUCCAAAAACAAGAUAUAGCACAGGAGAAAUGAAGAACAAUGCAUCCUAUACAGUGUUUUGUUUUGCUUUUUAAAAUUCUGAACAAGAAGAUUCUUUUGGAGGGUCCACCAAAGAGACCCAGAAGCUGAUUUGCUGUUGUCUAAAUCAGGAUGGCCUGUGGUUUUUAUGGACUGUUCCCCAUUCAGUGUACUGGACCAUCUGUUUAUUGGUUGAAAUAGCUAUUUUAAGGAGAGAAAUAAUAUGAGAUGCCCAUUCAUUGCCAAAUGCCACUCGGAAAUUCCCCCCCCCUUUUUUUUUCUUUGGAGGAAAGCAGGGGGAAAAGUAGUUCUGUUCUGCAUUGAAAGUGAGAUAAGGCUUUCACAAGUAUAUGUCAGGCCUAAAGUAGAUAACCUAUGUGAAAAGUGCAGACCAGACUUAUGGGGGACUUUGGAUCUUUCAUAUUUGUUUGAAUACCUUUCCUUGAGCUUGGAUUAUAUUUGAACAAAUGAAACAGAGAUGAAAGGCCAUUUUAAACUUUUUGUUUUGUUUUUCCGGCUUUUCCAGAUUUGGGUUGUUUUUUCUUUUUCUUUUUUUAAGUUACUGGUGCUGUAUAGGUGCUUUCUGUUUAACCUGGAAAGUGUGAUUCUUUUUGUUAGUUUCUUUGGUAGGGAGUUGAGUUGGGUGUUCCAUUGGGACAGGAAGAAUCUGGUAAGAAGCAGCUCCAAUUACUCUAGUAUUGAAUCACUUGUCCAACAUGCUCUCUGAAGACUUUUUUUUUCCCACUUUGGAUAAAAUCAUUAUGCAUAUAAAUGUAUAAAUAUAUUUUAUUAUGUAGAGUACAGAAAUGAAUAAUUAUGCAUGGGUGGUAAGAAUACAAACCUGUAUUCCAUCCCAAAGUUUCAGUCAAAAGUUCUCACUGAUAGUGGUCCCAUGCAACAUGUCACAACUUCCUUCCAUGACACAUGAAACACACACGUGCACCUGCCGCUAUCUAUCGAGCCCCUUUUUUGUUCCUUUGCGUUAUCUUGGGGGCCGAUGUUGGUAGAAGUUACACCUGGUGUGUUGGGCAUUCCAUUUGGUCUCUUAAUGCCCUCUCUCACCCCAACUCUGCCAUGCCUGUAUUGUCCUUUUUGAGUGAUGACCCUGUUUAUUUCAUCAUGUUUCACAGAAUUUGUAUAUGCUUCUGUGGUUGUGGUUAUGGUAGACCAACCUGGACGUACCAGUUUUUUGAACAACUUAAGAUCUUAUCCUUUUCAGUGCGAAAGGUAGUAGUAAGUGUGUUCAGAUUGGUCAGUUUGUCUGUGGCAGGAACUUGCUUCCUAUAUUCCUUUACCAUAAUGAGAGUUUAAAAAUUGUACAAAUAAGACACCUGUCAAAUAUUGCUUGCUAGUCCUCUCUGAAAAGCAAAAGGACUGCCUGGUCAGGCACUGGUGAAAGAGAAAUACCUCUCUCAAUCUUCAUUCCUCUAUCCUGAAAGGAGAAGCUAGCCAAGUGGGCCAGAGAGGAGGAACGCACUGUUUUGUUACUUGGUCAGAUGGCCUACGUGGAAACCAGCUGGUGGUAGGGAGCUGUUAGGCUAUACGAGAGUCCAGGCUGCUCCAGCUAGAGAGCCUAGAGAUUGCAAUUCAGCUCCUGAGUUAUAAGGAAGUUGUUUUCUCUUUGUUGCUCUAGACCCCAAGAGUUGCUUGGGGGUGGGAGAGGGCAGGAAGUAGGUCAGAAAAAGUACUAACAGUGUUCCAACUGAAAAAAAAAUGGCACAGACUUCCCUUCAGUUAUAUAGUAUCUCUUUCAUUCUCUACUUUUCUCGCAUUAGAUAGGUUUUAAUCUGAAACUAUCUUGAGAAAUGUUUUGAACCCAGAUUAGAAUUUAAUCUAAGACAACUGAGUGCAAGAAAGCACAGGAUCAGGGAGCUACAAAACUGAACAGGAAGUCUUUUUUUCCCCCUUAUUGAACGACUCAGUGAAACAACAGUUUAAGGAUGGGUGAGAAAUUCUAAGGGACUGAAUCCCUGAGCCAUGCAGGAGGGCUGCAAGAGGGGCAAGGAAGGUCUGAUCCUUUCUGGUUCUUGACCUAGAAUUGUUACAGUCUUCCCCUUUAUCCACCCACCAGCUUGAAGUCUCUCUGUUCCGUACUAUAUCUCCAGCAGAAUGGAGCGUUGGGAGCUGAGGCUGAAGCUGAAAGGCCAAAGAAGCAAGAUCCGUGCUAGAGUUGUAGCCAUGCCUCUGUUAACCUGAGCUGGGUAGAGGUGCCGCUUGUGGCUUUUCUACAGAUUAGGUUUAAAGGAUCGUCUGGAAGUACCAUGACUGAUUUCUGUGCGCACCCUCCUCUCUCUGGCUGUUUUCAGAUCUAGGACGCUAAAUAGAAAAUCUGCAGUUCCCAUAGCUGAUUUCAUCACUAGCAUCAGCUAACCAAAUUGCAGCCCUUCCUAACCCUCCCUUCUCUACCCUCACCCCUUAGCGUAAUAUGGGGAGGGCUGCCAUUUUUUUUUUAUAAGGAAACCAGAAGAGUAACUGUUUCUGAUUAGACAUGUACUCUGGGGAACUGUUCCCCUCCGAGACUCCAGGCCCAAACACCUUUUACCAAAGUUAGAAAACAGCUUUAUCACAAGCUUUCCCUGUUAUGUACUUAAGUGCAGAAUAUGCAUUGCCCUUUUCAGGUUCAGGUAUAUCCUUAGCUGUGAAUGAAUCUGAAGUUGUUUUUCUUUUUUCUUUUUUUCUCUCAUCUACCAUAAUGUUAUUUUUUUUACUUAAAAAAAAUCUCCUGUUAAUCAGAGGAGGAUGUUUGAUAUAGUACAAAGCGGGCUUUGUGGUAUUGUGUGUGUGUGUGUAUGUAUGUGUGUGUGUGAGUGUGUGUUGAUUUUAACAAACACGUCUACUGCCUCCCCUCCCUGAGGAUGAAGCUCAUGGUGGCUUUCGCUACUACCAGCAGAUAGUUCCCAUUCAUAGGGGUAAGAUUUCAAGUUAGUUAAUGAUUUGUGUUCAUUGGACUAGGGAUGAUGAGGACAGGUUUAUCUCCUGCCUGGUGGAUCUCUCUCUUUUUUUUAAUGGUCGUCAUUUGGGUUUCUUCAAGAUGCAACCAGGACCAAAGUAGUACCACAGCCACUUAAUUAUUCCCCACAGGAAUGUAAGGGAUUCCAUGGGGAUGGGCAAGGAAAAGGAAAAAGCAGUAGAGAAAUUCAAGCCUUCAGGCUUUCCUCAACCAAAAUCAAAAUUUCUGCCUUUAAAAAAAAAGUCUCUUUUCAUAUUUUCGCCCUGAUUAAGGAAAACUAAUCUUUCCAAUACUAAAAUUCACUGAUUCUAUUUUCUCUUGGAAUAUUUUGAGAAUAUAUGAUUAAGUAUGAUUUUGUUUUUCAUUAAGAAAAUCAGUUAUGGGGAGAUAAUCAUUGGCCAAGAGGUACGAAGUUCAGCAGCAUCUCUGGGGAAAGGGGGAAAAAGGAAAAAGACUAAUUUUCCUGAAAUCAUGUCCAUCAAAUAAGAUCUUGUAGCAGAUACACAAGUUAUUAAAGAGUUUUAGUGUUAAUAUUUAAUACAUAAGCGCUAAGCAUCUAAAGUGGUAACAUUUAUGCGAUUUGAACGAUUGUGUAUUUUAUUUAAUUUUAUUUGUGAUUUUUUUCUUUUGUGAACGAUUGGUUAUAAGGCUUCUGCCUAACUCCAGAAAUAUUUGUACCAUUGCUUUAAAAAGCUAUAUGUUAGGACAUUUAUUUCUCUAAAAUUAUGUUAUUGCUUGGCAAUCAGUCUUCUCUCAUAUAAUUGUCUUAGUACAUCAUGUGCAUUGGAAAUGUAAACAGAUGUGGAGGACCAGAUAAAUUAGUUAAUAUUUGAAAAAACAAUGUAUUGUGCAUUUUGGCUUCACAUGUUAAACUUUUUUUUUCAGAAAAAAAAAAGUUGCAUGAAUGGAAAAAAAGUAUCUGUAUACAGUAUCUGUAAAAUUGUCUUCUCUGUUUUAGUUUCUUGCUGAUAACCUGUACAAACUAGAAUGAUGCUAAACCCCUGUCUUUGGUGCAUGGCCACAGUCAAAACACCUAAGAGCUAAGAGGCUCCUACUUUGCUUUGGUAGUGCCUCGUCCUUUCUUUUAGAGUCAACACUAUCCAUUUGCAUUCUCACUGAGGAUCUCGUCAAACCGUGUGUUGCCAUGGAUUGACUAACCGACUAUAUACCCUCUCUCCAGGAGGAUCAAACUAUUUUUGAUUUGAGAAUCUUUCCAAAUGAAAUAGAGAUGCUGUGCUUAUUUUCCUCAGUGUUUAUCUGUAGAUAUCACCUUGUGUAUUCCAUUUUCGAUUGUAAUCUAGUUUGUAAAAGAGAUGGUGACCGCAUGUAAAUAAAGCAUAAUGACUCUCUA